rnacentral:lncRNA from 1 species
UUUGAAAUGCCCCAAAUUGUUAUAGCUGCAUCUUUUACGUAGUAAUUGGCUCCUUUAAAUCCAAUCUUUAAUUCAACUAAAAUUUAAUUUUGCUCUCAGAACUUUCAACUCGUGGUACGAUAGAGGCAUUCAUACAUUUCCAACAUCCAGGUUGCAAUCGCUCUUCCCGCAGAUUGGAGACCUCGCAAUCUCAUCAUGGUGACGAUGAUACAUACGAGUACGUUUACCGCAAACAUCGUGGGGUAGACCCUGGCUGUCAGUGCAAAAGCAAGUCCAGUGGGCAGAUCAAAGUAAUCUACGAUACGCAAAUGAAGAGUACGAGAGGAGAGUUUAUCGCCAACACCGCGGAGUAGACCCAAAAUACUUGUGCAAAAAUAAGGGCCUACAUGACCCUUAUGAAGAACACCAGAGGAGAGUUUACAAGGAAGAGUGGGUUGACUACAACAAUGAUCCGCAUGGAAGGAGAGUGAAUCGGGAUGACAUACACCAAACGGACUUACAGCGUGUCAACAGGAUGUUUCGUAACUCGAUGGCCAUGGACCUAGAUGACAAGCAACAAUUAAGACCCGUAGCUCCGUUUGGAAUGAAUCAAAGGAUGUCCGUAGGCUUUUACGGUAGCAAUUACAUCAAUCCAACCCGUGUGUUUGCUGCAGUGCAGGAGUUCAUCGACAACUUUUCCAUGUUUCACGUGACAUUUCGAUGCCCGGCCAAAGUAUAGGAAAAUACAUUUGCAAAAUGCAGUGUGCAAUCCGUGACAAAAGACUCACCGGAACCUGCGAGUCCCAGUUCUGCAACUGUGUCUUCAGGAGGGAGAAGAAGCUGCGCAAAGCGAUGAGCAAGCAUUUCAAGAAAUUGAUGGAGGGUUACACCACGGACUGCUCCGUUUACGAAAACGAGAAAGAAUGCAAGAAUUCCUGCAAAGCUCUGACCCCGGACAAGUCGUUCACUGGGCUCUGCAAGGACAACCACUGCCAGUGCGUGACCUACCCGAAGACCCCGGGGAGGAAGAAGAACGCCUGCACGGAGGCCAUCAAAAAGCUGAAACAACUCGAGGACGUGGCGCUGACCAAACUGGGAGUCAAACCCAGACCUCUCAGCGCCGCCGCGGAGAAACACUUGAACGCCGUCGCCGACGAAGCCGUUGAGAAGUUCAAGUCCAACAACUCGAUCGACGGGUGCACCGAGGAGGAUAUCCAGAAUCUGAGGGUGGUCAUCGCGAACCUGUCGCACGGAUUGAACCUGGUGAAGGAUAUCGAUUCGUCUGGAACAACUUCAGGAACUUCAUCCCCUAAAUCUGGAUCCAAAGGGUCCUCGGAAGUAUCCUCCCUCCUUGGUUCGGCGUCCGGGUUAUUCUUCGGAUCAAAUUCUGGAAUAUCCUCUUUUGGAUCAUCCUCCUCUGAUUCUUCCUCUUCUAGAUCAUCCUCCUCUGGAUCAUUCUCCUCUGGAUCAUUCUCCUCUGGAUCAUCCUCCUCCGGAUCAUCCUCCUCUAGAUCAUUCGCCUCUGUAACAAUCUCUGGAACGUCAUCCCCGAAAGGUGGUGCCGGUGCAUCAUCUAAAACACUCUACGGAUCAUCCUCUGGAUUAUUCUUCGGAUCAAACUCUGCAGGAAACUAUGGAACGACCUCGAUUACAGCGCCCUCUGGCGGAGUGACGUGCACUCGUGUCUCGUGUAAUCAUUCGUCUUGUAAACCGUAAAAAAUAAGCGCCUAUCUUUCAUUACAGUUUUUGUUUUUCU